rnacentral:sRNA from 1 species
CUACUUCUUAUUUACUACUACACCUACUACAUCUACGACUCUUCUUUGCCACAUGUUACAGUAGUCUGUAUCAAAUAAGCAAUGGGGAUACAUACACUGUGCGCGCGCUUGCAUAUUCGAUUUUCCGAUAUGCAGCGAUAUGCCACAUAACGGUGGAUAACGGACACAAUUUUGUCCGGUAUGCUACCAAAGUGGGCAUAUCGGGAGAGUCCGAUAUGCUGCCGCGUGCACAGUGAUAGAGCUCAGAUUGACUAUAUGAUGGUGUUACUCAUAUGUAUCCUCAUUGGUUGUUU